rnacentral:rRNA from 1 species
CGCGCAGGCGGGUAAUUAAGUCAGAGGUGAAAUCCCACAGCUUAACUGUGGAACUGCCUUAGAUACUGGUUAUCUUGAGUUUUAGUGAAGUAGAUAGAAUGUGUAGUGUAGCGGUGAAAUGCAUAGAUAUUACACAGAAUACCGAUUGCGAAGGCAGUCUACUAACUAACAACUGACGCUAAUGGACGAAAGCGUGGGGAGCGAACAGGAUUAGAUACCCUGGUAGUCC